rnacentral:lncRNA from 1 species
CUGAGCUGGGUCUGGAAGAGUCCCUAGGCAUAGGCCGGCUGCAGUGGGCGGGGUAAUGGCUUAUCCAGGCCACUGGAGCAGAGAAGGCAAGAAUAGAAAAAGAGAACUGAGACAAUUCCUUUAAAUAGCGGCUGCUGAUGAGGCAAGAAGGCAUUCGCUCAAGGGGGUUUGGGAUAUGAAGAGAAGGGUUUACUUUAAGGCCAAGGAUGGGGAAGGUCUGAGUAGCUUGUACACAGGAAGAAUUAAGUGCUGCUCUGUGCUCAGUGCGGUUGUGGAGGGAGCAGCUGGCUGCACUGGUCCAUGGCUGGGUUUGGCAGGAGCGAGAACACCAGCCCGGAGCAGACACAGCAUUCCUGGGGCAGGACUGCCCCGCAUGUCACAUCACGAAGCCCAGUGCCCGGCACACAGUGCCCACCUGUCUCUGCUGCCAGGGAGUUUGUUUUUCAAACAUUCCGUGGACAUUCUAGUCCCACAAAAAGCAGCUCAAUUCAGUAUUCACCAUGUCCUGACACUUUCAGCUGUGGCCAGACUCCCCACUUGCUGUGGACACAGAGCUGGGCAGGACCAGAGGGAUUAUCUGUUCAACCCUUCAUUUCACAGCUGGAGAAACAGGCUCAGAGAGGCAAAGGGGCUCGGCCAAGGUCACACAUUCAAGUAAGAGCAGUGGAGAUUCUGCCCCAGCCCUGGUCCUCUAAUCUAAUCCAUCAGCCCAUAGGAACCGAGCAGCCAUCCCCACGCACACGUGGGACCAGAGCCACUGACCCUGAGAGCCAGCAGGGCUUCCAGGCAACCCUCCCUCCCCGCCCCUCCUGAUUCCAAGCUCUGGAGACAAAAGAGCAGAGGUGAGGUGAGCACCCCAAUGUCACGGGCCAGGCAGCGCCCAGGGGGACGAGAACCCAGGGCUCCAGACUCCACCCUGGCUGCUUCCACCACACCCCCGUCCCCACCCUAGGCACCCUCAGCUCUCCAGCCACUCUGGACACAGCCCUGCAUGUCUCUAUGGCUGUGUGCGCCUCCUCCAUGGGGCCACAUCUGCGUCUGAUUGAAUAAACACCUGGGGGGACGACCA